GAAAAGUCGAAAAUACUUUCUUACAAGCCAAACAUAAAUGCGAAGAGAAAGCUCAAUCACCACUUCAAGUCAUCAUUCAACUCUUCUCCCAAGCUAUCAUUGUUCAAGUCGGCUCAUAGCUAUUUUGACGAGCAUCAUGUGUUUAGGUGGUGAUUACAGAGAACAAGGUGUUAGCAAAUACGUGAAAAACAAAGCGUCAGGAACGGUUGGAUCACCGCCUAGGCAUAUGACGUUUGACCUGAUAGCUGCCCAUGAGAAGAGCCGGAUUUCUUUAGGUGGCCACGAAAAACAAAUUCUGUCAUUGAGAAGAAGGGGCCUUACUAUUUUGAAGAAGCUCCGACCCAGGACUGUUCUCGAAGCCCUUCACAAGAGGAUCACCGCUUUGCUCUGGGAAAUCCUCUUCGAAAGGUAACGUGGAGGCUGCGACACUGUUUCCAAAUCCAAGAUGUCAUCAAAAUCCGAAGCAGCUAUCAUUAGUGUACCCAGGUAAUGGGGGCAACUUCCCGGAGGACCAUUAAAUGCCUUUCUACAAAAGAGCUCCCAAGAAAACUCAAAAUUCAGUUUCUCAACAUGAUGUACAUAAUUAUUUUCGCCCAAAGGAGAGGCAACAUCCAUUAUACGAGUUGUGAUUACAACUCUAGCAAUAACAUUACGAGGUACCCAUGCGCUACAUUCAAAUUGCCCCUUGAUGCUAGUGAAGACUUUCUUUGCGAUAGUGGUUUUCCCUGACCCUGCCAUGCCAACAAGUGAAACAAUUGAGCGUUGAUUGGGUUCUUCCUCUUUCUGCAACUCUUCUUGUAGUUGCCUAACAAUGUUGUCAAUGCCUAUGAUGUCAGUUUCUUCAUAAAAAGGGGAAGAUACACCAAGAUGAUCGAUACUUGUUUCGGCAGUGUAACCGUUGUUAGACCCUUCUUGAAUUUUAUAUCGCAACCUUCUGUUGGAUAUGUCUUCUACAUCCUUCCUGAUAAUUUCAAUCUGAGAGUGGAAUUGAUGGCAAAGUACUCGCUGCUUGAAGUGGGAAGGGCUGGAGUUUUGUGAAGAUAGAAGGAGAGGUCUGUAACAUCCAGUAUGAACCAGAAGACUUGUGCUGCUUUCUCUACAAAAGAUAAAGUGGAUAAUAGUGAUUCUCUGCCUGAUCUAUGUCCCUUUCCACUGCAACUGUUGUAGUCUAACCAAUCUGGUCUGUCAGGUUACAAUAAAAAAGAUAAACUUUUUUUUCUCCCUAAAUCAGAAACUUGAUCAUAAAACUUCUUGUCUGUUCUAUGCAAUUACAAAUAAGUCAUGAACAAGAACCAUAAACUUCAGUCAAAUUGUCAAUAGGUUGGACUUCCAUAGACUUGGUGGAUCCUGUGUUUCAGACCA